rnacentral:rRNA from 1 species
GACGAACGCUGGCGGCGCGCCUGACACAUGCAAGUCGAGCGAGAACCUGGGCUUCGGCCCAGGGGAAAGCGGCGAACGGGUGAGUAACACGUGGGUAACCUGCCCUCGGCACCGGGAUAGCCCGGGGAAACUCGGAUUAAUACCGGACAGCCUCAUGAGCUCUCGGGCGAAUGAGAAAAGGUGGCUUCGGCUUCCGGCUGAGGAUGGGCCCGCGGCCGAUUAGCUUGUUGGUGAGGUAAUGGCUCACCAAGGCUCCGAUCGGUAGCUGGUCUGAGAGGACGAUCAGCCACACUGGGACUGAGACACGGCCCAGACUCCUACGGGAGGCAGCAGUGGGGAAUCUUGCGCAAUGGGCGAAAGCCUGACGCAGCGACGCCGCGUGCGGGAAGAAGGCCUUUUGGUUGUAAAGCACUUUAAGCGAGGAGGAGGCGCUCUAGGAUAAUACCCUAGAUGCGUGGACGUUACUCGCAGAAUAAGCACCGGCUAACUCUGUGCCAGCAGCCGCCGUAAAAC